GACAGAGGGGGCAAGCGUUGCUCGGAAUCACUGGGCGUAAAGGGCGCGUAGGCGGGAUGGCAAGUCGGUCGUGAAAUCCUUCGGCUCAACCGAAGAACGUCGGCCGAUACUGCCGUUCUUGAGGGAUGCAGAGGAGAUUGGAAUUCCCGGUGUAGCGGUGAAAUGUGUAGAGAUCGGGAGGAACACCGGUGGCGAAGGCGGGUCUCUGGGCAUCUCCUGACGCUGAGGCGCGAAAGCGUGGGGGAGCAA
rnacentral:rRNA from 1 species